rnacentral:rRNA from 1 species
UAGGGAAUCUUGCGCAAUGGGCGAAAGCCUGACGCAGCGACGCCGCGUGGGGGAUGAAGGUCUUCGGAUCGUAAACCCCUGUCUUUGGGGACGAAGCAUGACGGUACCCAAGGAGGAAGCCCCGGCUAACUACGUGCCAGCAGCCGCGGUAAAACGUAGGGGCGAGCGUUGUCCGGAAUUACUGGGCGUAAAGGGUGCGUAGGCGGCCGCUUAAGUCCUGUGUGAAAGGCCCCGGCUUAACCGGGGAGGGUCAUGGGAAACUGGGCGGCUUGAGUGCCGGAGAGGGUGGUGGAAUUCCCGGUGUAGCGGUGAAAUGCGUAGAGAUCGGGAGGAACACCAGUGGCGAAGGCGGCCACCUGGACGCACUGACGCUGAGGCACGACAGCUGGGGGAGCAAACAGGAUUAGAUACC